rnacentral:siRNA from 1 species
AGAACUGCCACUGUAAUUGCUCA